GGUCUAAUAGUGUAGAGAUUAUCACAUAGAUUCGCAGAAUAUGAGUGUGGACGUACUAAGUACUCCCCGUACCCCAGGUUCAAGUUCUGGUUAGACCG